rnacentral:rRNA from 1 species
GAUGAACGCUAGCGGCAGGCUUAAUACAUGCAAGUUGAGGGGCAGCAUGAUAUACGCGAGUAUAUUGAUGGCGACCGGCGGACGGGUGAGUAAUAGGUAGGAGACCUACCUCAUACAGGGGGAUAGCAUAGAGAAAUCUGUGGUAAUACCCCAUGAGGUUAUAUGAAUAGAGGCAUAUAAUCAAAGCAUAAGCGAUUAUGCGGUAUGAGAGGGGCCUACUGACCAUUAGCUAGUUGGUGAGGUAAGGGCUCACCAAGGCGAAGAUGGUUAGGGGUUUUGAGAGAGAGACCCCCCACAUUGGAACUGAGAGACGGUCCAGACUCCUACGGGAGGCAGCAGUAGGGAAUAUGGGCAAUGGGCGAAAGCCUGACCCAGCCAUGCCGCGUGAAGGAAGACGGCCUUAUGGGUUGUAAACUUCUUUACUACGCGAAUAGAGGUUAGUACGAGAUACUAAUAGGAAGGUAGUGUAGUAAAAGCAACCGGCUAACUCCGUG